CAGCAGCCGCGGUAAUACGAAGGGGGCUAGCGUUGCUCGGAAUGACUGGGCGUAAAGGGCGCGUAGGCGGCGAUCAAAGUCAGGCGUGAAAUUCCUGGGCUCAACCUGGGGGCUGCGCUUGAUACUUGGUUGCUUGAGUGGGGAAGAGGGUCGUGGAAUUCCCAGUGUAGAGGUGAAAUUCGUAGAUAUUGGGAAGAACACCGGUGGCGAAGGCGGCGACCUGGUCCUUGACUGACGCUGAGGCGCGAAAGCGUGGGGAGCAAACAGGAUUAGAUACCCCGGUAGUCCCUGUCUCUUUACA
rnacentral:rRNA from 1 species